GAUGAACGCUGGCGGCGUGCCUAAUACAUGCGAGUCGAGCGAACAGACGAGGAGCUUGCUCCUCUGACGUUAGCGGCGGACGGGUGAGUAACACGUGGAUAACCUACCUAUAAGACUGGUAUAACUUCGGGAAACCGGAGCUAAUACCGGAUAAUAUAUUGAACCGCAUGGUUCAAUAGUGAAAGACGGUUUUGCUGUCACUUAUGGAUGGAUCCGCGCCGCAUUAGCUAGUUGGUAAGGUAACGGCUUACCAAGGCAACGAUGCGUAGCCGACCUGAGAGGGUGAUCGGCCACACUGGAACUGAGACACGGUCCAGACUCCUACGGGAGGCAGCAGUAGGGAAUCUUCCGCAAUGGGCGAAAGCCUGACGGAGCAACGCCGCGUGAGUGAUGAAGGUCUUCGGAUCGUAAAACUCUGUUAUUAGGGAAGAACAAAUGUGUAAGUAACUAUGCACGUCUUGACGGUACCUAAUCAGAAAGCCACGGCUAACUACGUG
rnacentral:rRNA from 1 species